rnacentral:rRNA from 1 species
CCUACGGGGUGCAGCAGUGAGGAAUAUUGGUCAAUGGGCGGAAUCCUGAACCAGCCAUGCCGCGUGCAGGACGACGGCUCUACGAGUUGUAAACUGCUUUUGUACCGGGGUAAAAUGCUCUACGAGUAGGGUUUUGAAAGUACGGUACGAAUAAGGAUCGGCUAACUCCGUGCCAGCAGCCGCGGUAAUACGGAGGAUCCGAGCGUUAUCCGGAUUUAUUGGGUUUAAAGGGUGCGUAGGUGGUUUUAUAAGUUAGCGGUGAAAUACCGAUGCUCAACAUCGGGGCUGCCGCUAAUACUGUAGGACUAGAGAUCGGAUGCAGCAGGCGGAAUGUGUAGUGUAGCGGUGAAAUGCAUAGAUAUUACACAGAACACCGAUUGCGAAGGCAGCUUGCUAGGCCGGAUCUGACACUGAUGCACGAAAGCGUGGGGAUCGAACAGGAUUAGAUACCCCAGUAGUC